rnacentral:tRNA from 1 species
AGGGGUGUAGCUCAGUGGUAGAGCAUUUAUUUGCCUAACAUGAAUGAGGCCCUGGGUUUGAUCCUCAGCACUACAA